AUUGAACGCUGGCGGCAGGCCUAACACAUGCAAGUCGAACGAGUGGCGGACGGGUGAGUAAUGUCUGGGAAAAUGCCCGCUGGCGGGGGAUAACUACUGGAAACGGUAGCUACUACCGCCUCCCAUCGUAUGUGCCAGAGGGGAUUAACUAGUAGGUGGGGUAACGGCGCACCUAGCCGACGAUCCCUAGCUGGUCGGAGAGGAUGACCAGCCACACUGGAACUGAGAGACGGUCCAGACUCCUACGGGAGGCAGCAGUGGGGAAUAUUGAACAAUGGGCGCAAGCCUGAUGCAGCCAUGCCGCGUGUAUGAAGAAGGCCUUCGGGUUGUAAAGUACUUUCAGCGAGGAGGCGUUACCCGCAGAAGAAGCACCGGCUAACUCCGGGCCAGCAGCCGCGGUAAUAC
rnacentral:rRNA from 1 species